rnacentral:rRNA from 1 species
CAUGCAAGUCGAACGGCAGCACGGGGGGUAACCCCUGGUGGCGAGUGGCGAACGGGUGAGUAAUACAUCGGAACGUAUCCUGUAGCGGGGGAUAACCUCUCGAAAGAGAGGCUAAUACCGCAUACGACCUACGGGUGAAAGAGGGGGAUCGCAAGACCUCUCACUAUAGGAGCGGCCGAUGUCGGAUUAGCUAGCUGGUGGGGUAAAAGCCCACCAAGGCUACGAUCCGUAGCUGGUCUGAGAGGACGACCAGCCACACUGGAACUGAGACACGGUCCAGACUCCUACGGGAGGCAGCAGUGGGGAAUUUUGGACAAUGGGCGCAAGCCUGAUCCAGCCAUGCCGCGUGGGUGAAGAAGGCCUUCGGGUUGUAAAGCCCUUUCGGCUGGGACGAAAAGGUUCGGGUUAAUAACCCGGAUCCAUGACGGUACCAGCAGAAGAAGCACCGGCUAACUACGUGCCAGCAGCCGCGGUAAUACGUAGGGUGCAGGCGUUAAUCGGAAUUACUGGGCGUAAAGCGUGCGCAGGCGGUUUGCUAAGAGAGAUGUGAAAUCCCCGGGCUUAACCUGGGAACUGCGUUUCUAACUGGCAGGCUUGAGUGUGGCAGAGGGGGGUGGAAUUCCACGUGUAGCAGUGAAAUGCGUAGAGAUGUGGAGGAACACCGAUGGCGAAGGCAGCCCCCUGGGCUAACACUGACGCUCAUGCACGAAAGCGUGGGGAGCAAACAGGAUUAGAUACCCUGGUAGUCCACGCCCUAAACUAUGUCAACUGGUUGUCGGGGAAGCAAUUCCUUGGUAACGAAGCUAACGCGUGAAGUUGACCGCCUGGGGAGUACGGCCGCAAGGUUAAAACUCAAAGGAAUUGACGGGGACCCGCACAAGCGGUGGAUUAUGUGGAUUAAUUCGAUGCAACGCGAAAA